ACGACUUUUUCUGGUUUCGACUUUAUUCUCAUAUUACAAUGUUGUCGAAAUGUUGUGUCUUUCUUCUCAUAGUGCCAGCAUUUUUUUUUUUUUUUUUUUAAUCUGACGCUUAUACUCCGUCGUACUUUGAAAAUAAAAUAAAUCCAUAAAAAAACACAACAAAUAAAAACAUUCACAUAUAAAAGGGACAAUGUCACCUUUCAAGAUCUUGUUCUCGCCUGGAUUUUUUUCUUAAUUUUGUGUUUAAAACUCUCACUUUUACCCCCUAAUGAGGUUUUAUAUAUAAUUUUUUUCACUACAACCUGUUAUUUUCACAAUCUGCUGCUGUAGUUGUGUCAUAAUCACUGUAAUAAAAAGUACAGGUCCCGAAAUACACGUGGAAAAAAGCAAAAACGAAAAAUAAAAUUCACACUUUUUCAUACAAAACACAGCAAACAUGUUUAAACAACUUUUUGGACUUAAAAAAAGCUUAAUUUAGGGCCUUAGCUACAAAAGUACAAAAUAUCAAGUCUGUAAAUAAAGUAAAAAUCUCCUUAUUCCCUCAAAACAACAACAAAAAAAACUCCAUGACUUUCCUCAGGUCCAGGGCUCAGAGCCACAUCACUUCUGCAUUUCCAUGUGUUUAUUACAUUUGGAUUUGGACGUUUGGACUCAAAUAAACCUGAAAAUAAAACUAUCCAGGGAUGUGCAAUGACACAGAACAAGAUUAAGCGUAAUUUGUCCAUUUACGUGAGAAACAUCUGCACUUAGAGCGACUUUUUUUAUUGUUCUGAACACAGACGCUCAGAGCAUCGGCCGUUUUGACUCACUACACUCUUUGGACCAAUCAAAAUGGACGGAGUGCAGGAGUUUGAUGGAAAACAAGGUUCCUACGUCACAAAACCACGUGACCUGAUGUUUAUGCUGCCAGACUGGAGUCAAACUCCAUCUGGACCAACGUGUAGUGUUGUAUUUUCUGCACUAUGAACAGUGUUAUGAAGUUUACUUUUAAAAUGUAAUCCCCUACAGAUUACAUCCCCCAAAAUGUAGUUUGUAACGUAAUCCAUUAAAUUACUUAAAGUGAGUAAUGUAAUCUGAAUACUUUGGAUUACUUGAUUUGUUGUAGAGAAACAAAGACGAGGAAAUCUUCACAUAAGAAGUUUUGUCUGAUAAAAGAAAAUAAAAAGUCCAGAUUUUACUGAACCAAAUAAAAAAUAUUAUUGAUAGAAGAAGAAGAAACAGGUCCACACAGCAGGAUUUAGUCCUGUUAAAUCCUGUUUUAGUCCUGGUUUAGACCUGCUUUAGUCCUGGUUUAGACCAGGUUUAGACCAGGUUUGAAACUGGAUAAGAAAAAAAAAACAAAACCCAACAAUUCCAGCCCCUGCAGCGAGUCUUCAGCUCCGCUCCUGAGCCUCUCUCCUCUUCCUCUUUUUAUGAGUUGAUGAGGUUAUUUUUAGUCUGGCCAGUAGGUGGCAGCAAGAACAAAACUCAGGUGACCAGGUGUGUCUCUGGAAUCAUUGAUUUAGGCCCAGGUGAACAAACACAAACAGAACCAAACGAAGGAACGUGAAGGAAACACAGAGACGCUGUGCGGACGCCAAAACAUUAAAUCACGUGACUGACACGUCAAACGCAAAUCCUCAGUUGGACACUUGUUUUCCCGAUGUGAACGUGCUCGGAAAACCACAACUAAAAAAGUCCGACCGACCGUGAACCAGACGUGUCAUUUAUUGUUCCUGGACUGACUCCGAGUGACCAGCAGAUGGCGCUGGAUCCUCGCUGCAGCUCCGAGGUGAAACAGAAGCUGCUGCUGUGGAGGCUCAGAUCUGCACGUCUGAUAUUUAACACUGAAGCAAACUGAAGCAAACUGAAGCAAACUGAAGCACACGUCAUAAUCCUGCGUGUUCAGAUCUUCCUCCAUCGCGAUUUUUACAAACAUCGAGUGAGUUUACGAGCAAACGAGUCUUAUCCCGAUAAUUAUGAGUCUUUAUCCUGGUUCAGAGUCUCAGAUGCUCGUCGCUGUUUGUUGAUAAACUCAUUUUAUCUACAAAAUGCUCAGUUUGUGUUUUCAGGCCGACAGAAUCGUGCUGGUGCUGCUUCUCGCACUGAAUCUGGAACCACCUGACGCAGAACGUUCAGGAACCGAAAUGUUGGUUCCCAAAAGUAAACCAAGUAAAACUAGUUUUUCUAAGUGAACCGUGACGUCACAGUCGACAUGAGCAGGUUCAUCCAAGUCACACACAUAAAAUAAACAUGUGUGAGGAACAUGGAGGAGAAAUCAAGAGACAGAAGAUUGAGCUGAUGGUCAGAGGAGAACAAAUAUUUGCUGUAUCCGUGUUUGCCAUGUUCACAUCUUUAGAUUGGACAUCGCUGCCGCCUUCUCCACAGCCGACGUUUCUCCACAGCCGACGUUUCUCCACAGCAGAUGUUUCUCCACGGCAGAUGAAGCGAUCCAUGAUUACAGUUUCUUUUAAUGUUUAUUUGGCACCAACAAGAAACUCGUCCUUAUAAAAUAUAAAUAAAAGUUAUAAAAAAAAAAACAAAAACAGAAAGAGAAGGAUGAAGUAGGCAAAACCAGAAAGCGAACGUAAACAAACGUGUCCA